rnacentral:rRNA from 1 species
UGAAUGAAAGCUUGCUUUCAUUCGGUUAGCGGCGGACGGGUGAGUAACACGUGGGCAACCUGCCCGUAAGACCGGGAUAACUUCGGGAAAGAGCUAAUACCGGAUAACACCGAAGAUCGCAUGAUCUUUGGUUGAAAGGCGGCUUUGGCUGUCACUUACGGAUGGGCCCGCGGCGCAUAGCUAGUUGGUGAGGUAACGGCUCACCAAGGCGACGAUGCGUAGCCGACCUGAGAGGGUGAUCGGCCACACUGGGACUGAGACACGGCCCAGACUCCUACGGAGCAGCAGUAGGGAAUCUUCCGCAAUGGACGAAAGUCUGACGACAACGCCGCGUGAGCGAAGA